rnacentral:rRNA from 1 species
GAUUAGAUACCCUAGUAUAUGCAUGUAUUAUGAUUAUUAUAAAUUGAAAUUUAAAAAUUUUGGCGGUUCUUUAUUAAUUAGAGGAGCUUGUUUUAUAGAAUUAACUCUUUAUAUUUUAUAAAUAAAAGUUUAUUUAUCUCCGUUACUAAACAUGAAAUUGUAUAAAUUUUAUAGUUUGUAUUUCAGGUCAAGAUGUAGCAAUUAUUAUAUUGAAUUAGCUACAAUUAUGAAGUAAUGGAAUUUUGAGAUGAAAUUUUUAAGGAAAUUGAAUUUAGUUGUAAUAUAUUUUAGAAAAAAUUUAUGAAAAAAUAUAGUGAAUGUACAUAUUGCCCGUCACUUCUGUUGGUGAAAUAGAAUAAGUCGUAACAAAGUA